UACGUAGGGGGCAAGCGUUGUCCGGAAUCAUUGGGCGUAAAGAGCGUGUAGGCGGCUCGGUAAGUCCGCUGUGAAAGUCCAGGGCUCAACCCUGGAAUGCCGGUGGAAACUGUCGAGCUAGAAUCCGGAAGAGGCGAGUGGAAUUCCUGGUGUAGCGGUGAAAUGCGCAGAUAUCAGGAGGAACACCAAUGGCGAAGGCAGCCGCGCUGGGACGGUAUUGACGCUGAGACGCGAAAGCGUGGGGAGCAAACAGG
rnacentral:rRNA from 1 species